AGAAGUUGAUGUACAAGAAGUAGU
rnacentral:piRNA from 1 species